UCGUAGAUGACGCGGCGGGCGGCUUAAUACAUGCAAGUCGAGCGAACAGAUAAGGAGCUUGCUCCUUUGACGUUAGCGGCGGACGGGUGAGUAACACGUGGGUAACCUACCUAUAAGACUGGGAUAACUUCGGGAAACCGGAGCUAAUACCGGAUAACAUUUGGAACCGCAUGGUUCUAAAGUGAGAGAUGGUUUUGCUAUCACUUAUAGAUGGACCCGCGCCGUAUUAGCUAGUUGGUAAGGUAACGGCUUACCAAGGCGACGAUACGUAGCCGACCUGAGAGGGUGAUCGGCCACACUGGAACUGAGACACGGUCCAGACUCCUACGGGAGGCAGCAGUAGGGAAUCUUCCGCAAUGGGCGAAAGCCUGACGGAGCAACGCCGCGUGAGUGAUGAAGGGUUUCGGCUCGUAAAACUCUGUUAUUAGGGAAGAACAAACGUGUAAGUAACUGUGCACGUCUUGACGGUACCUAAUCAGAAAGCCACGGCUAACUACGUGCCAGCAGCCGCGGUAAUACGUAGGUGGCAAGCGUUAUCCGGAAUUAUUGGGCGUAAAGCGCGCGUAGGCGGUUUCUUAAGUAUGAUGUGAAAGCCCACGGCUCAACCGUGGAGGGUCAUUGGAAACUGGGAAACUUGAGUGCAGAAGAGGAAAGUGGAAUUCCAUGUGUAGCGGUGAAAUGCGCAGAGAUAUGGAGGAACACCAGUGGCGAAGGCGACUUUCUGGUCUGUAACUGACGCUGAUGUGCGAAAGCGUGGGGAUCAAACAGGAUUAGAUACCCUGGUAGUCCACGCCGUAAACGAUGAGUGCUAAGUGUUAGGGGGUUUCCGCCCCUUAGUGCUGCAGAUAACGCAUUAAGCACUCCGCCUGGGGAGUACGACCGCAAGGUUGAAACUCAAAGGAAUUGACGGGGACCCGCACAAGCGGUGGAGCAUGUGGUUUAAUUUGAAGCAACGCGAAGAACCUUACCAAAUCUUGACAUCCUUUGAAAACUCUAGAGAUAGAGCCUUCCCCUUCGGGGGACAAAGUGACAGGUGGUGCAUGGUGUCGUCAG
rnacentral:rRNA from 1 species